GAGUUUGAUCAUGGCUCAGAUUGAACGCUGGCGGCAUGCCUUACACAUGCAAGUCGAACGGUAACAGGUCUUCGGAUGCUGACGAGUGGCGAACGGGUGAGUAAUACAUCGGAACGUGCCCGAUCGUGGGGGGAUAACGAAGCGAAAGCUUUGCUAAUACCGCAUAAGAUCUACGGAUGAAAGCAGGGGACCGCAAGGCCUUGCGCGAACGGAGCGGCCGAUGGCAGAUUAGGUAGUUGGUGGGAUAAAAGCUUACCAAGCCGACGAUCUGUAGCUGGUCUGAGAGGACGACCAGCCACACUGGGACUGAGACACGGCCCAGACUCCUACGGGAGGCAGCAGUGGGAAUUUUGGACAAUGGGCGAAAGCCUGAUCCAGCCAUGCCGCGUGCAGGAUGAAGGCC
rnacentral:rRNA from 1 species